rnacentral:rRNA from 1 species
ACAGCAGCCGCCGCGGUAAUACAGAGGGUGCAAGCGUUAAUCGGAAUUACUGGGCGUAAAGCGUGCGUAGGUGGUGGUUUAAGUCCGUUGUGAAAGCCCUGGGCUCAACCUGGGAAUUGCAGUGGAUACUGGGUCACUAGAGUGUGGUAGAGGAUAGUGGAAUUUCCGGUGUAGCAGUGAAAUGCGUAGAGAUCGGAAGGAACAUCUGUGGCGAAGGCGACUAUCUGGGCCAACACUGACACUGAGGCACGAAAGCGUGGGGAGCAAACAGGAUUAGAUACCCCUGUAGUCCCUGUCUCUUAUAC